ACCCAAGAAGCGUUGAAACCUUGACCUGAGUCAGUUUUCCCUUGGGCGCCCUUCGUUAUCUUUGCUCCAUCGAACGCAAGCAAGGCUUGCGCUUCAACAGAGCACGCAAGGCAUUUAGGGCGACUUCGGUCGCCCAUUUUUUUA
rnacentral:sRNA from 1 species